rnacentral:rRNA from 1 species
UACGUAGGGUGCAAGCGUUAAUCGGAAUUACUGGGCGUAAAGCGUGCGCAGGCGGUUGUGCAAGACAGAUGUGAAAUCCCCGGGCUCAACCUGGGAAUUGCAUUUGUGACUGCACGGCUAGAGUGUGUCAGAGGGGGGUAGAAUUCCACGUGUAGCAGUGAAAUGCGUAGAGAUGUGGAGGAAUACCGAUGGCGAAGGCAGCCCCCCUGGGAUAACACUGACGCUCAUGCACGGAAAAGCGUGGGGGAGCAAACAGG